CACAGACAUGUGGGCAGAGGGCACUUCCCUGAGGCCAUGGUGACUGACUGAUGAAGGCAAAGACAGACAGAAGGCCAGGUCUGCUGAGUAGGCCAGAACAGAGGAUGCUAAGGACAGGAGCAGAAGAGAGGAGACGAGGGCAGAGGAGACGUGGUCCAGGAACAGAGGAAAGAAGGGACUGAGGCACAGCAGAGAGGCUGAGAUAGAGACAGACCUAUUGGAGCAGAAGAACCCAACACCUCAGUGACACUGACUCCGAAUGGGAGCCCCCAGUGUCAAGGUGUCCAUCCCCAAUUGAAGCUUGUUCAUCCUGCCGGACACCUGUUGUCUCAGUGCUACUGGGGCAUGGACCGCAAAAAAAAUGUCCCCAUUCCAUCUGCAAUAAAGGACUACAACAAGAGCAUGGGAGGUGUGGACCUGUCAGAUGCACUGAUAGGCUAUUACAAUGUUCUCCAUAAGACGAUGAAAUGGUACAAGACCUUCUUCUAUCAUUUCAUCGACAUUGCUGUGGUGAAUGCAUUCAUCCUACACAAGGAAAUGGCUAAGAGCUGUGGAAAGCCCCCAUCUCACAGCUAGCCUUCAGAAAGCUGCUCAUCAAGGAGCUUGCUGGCUAUAGCACCACUGCACCACAUUCUGGCCCCUCUACCUCUGUCCCUUCUGCUCCUGCCACAAGUGGUGUUCAUCUGCCCAAAUGUAUUUCUGCAGGCAUAAAAGGGCACAGCAUGGAGGCGUCGCUGUGUUCUUUGCAAAAUGAAGUCCCCCAUCACCUGCACCACAUGCUUGGUGACUCUCUGCUUUACAGCAGAAAUAGACUGCUAUGGCACCUGGCAUCAGCAGCACAAUAUUGUGUAGAGGACUGAGGGUCUUCCAAAUAUUGAAAGUGUUAUUUUGUAAAUGUAUUUUUUCCCCCAUGUUUUUUCUCCAUUUUUUUGGCGGGGUGUGUUAGAAUACCAUUUUGGUAUUUUGUAUAUAGUUAUUCCAUUCGAAAUGUAUAACUUCACAAUUUUGGCCACUUGGGUACAUUUGGGAUACUUGUGUGGGACACCUGGGUGACUUCAUGAUAAAUGUCAUGUAGCACACUCAUUUUGGAAGUUAUCAUUCUGAAACUUUGCACAAGUACUGUUGCCCUCUUAUGUUUUUCACUGAAAUUGUCCCCAUCAUCCUAUCUGAAUGUUUGUUUUGUCUUGUUCAUUUUAAAGAUGAUGAUACAACAAUAAAAAUAAAAAACGUAUGGUUUUUCAUUGUGUUAUCUAAACCAGAUCUAUUGUGUUAUAUUCUCCUACAUUCAAUUCACAUUUACACAAACUUCA